UCCUACUGCGGGUGAGGGUGCAAAGCAC
rnacentral:sRNA from 1 species